rnacentral:rRNA from 1 species
GACGAACGCUGGCGGCGUGCUUAACACAUGCAAGUCGAACGGGGUAACUUUAGCAAUAAAGUUAUCUAGUGGCGGACGGGUGAGUAACGCGUGAGGAACCUGCCUUCAAGAGGGGGAUAACAUCGAGAAAUCGAUGCUAAUACCGCAUAAGACCACGCUCCCGCAUGGGAGAGGGGUCAAAGCCUCGGCGCUUGAAGAUGGCCUCGCGUCCCAUUAGCUAGUAGGCGGGGUAAUAGCCCACCUAGGCAACGAUGGGUAGCCGAGCUGAGAGGCUGAACGGCCACACUGGGACUGAGACACGGCCCAGACUCCUACGGGAGGCAGCAGUGGGGAAUAUUGGGCAAUGGGCGCAAGCCUGACCCAGCAACGCCGCGUGAAGGAUGAAGGUUUUCGGAUUGUAAACUUCUGUCCUCAAGGACGAAAAAAUAGACGGUACUUGGGGAGGAAGCCCCGGCUAACUACGUGCCAGC